GUGUCAGCAGCCGCGGUAAUACGGAGGAGGCAAGCGUUAUCCGGAAUUAUUGGGCGUAAAGCGUCCGCAGGUGGCUCGCUCAAGUCUGCUGUCAAAGACCGGGGCUUAACUCCGGAAAGGCAGUGGAAACUGACAAGCUAGAGGGCUCUAGGGGUAGAGGGAAUUCCCGGUGUAGCGGUGAAAUGCGUAGAGAUCGGGAAGAACAUCGGUGGCGAAAGCGCUCUACUGGAGAGCAACUGACACUCAGGGACGAAAGCUAGGGGAGCGAAUGGGAUUAGAUACCCCAGUAGUCCUAGCCGUAAACGAUGGAUACUAGGCGUGGCUUGUAUCGACCCGAGCCGUGCCGUAGCUAACGCGUUAAGUACCCCGCCUGGGGAGUACGCUCGCAAGAGUGAAACUCAAAGGAAUUGGCGGGG
rnacentral:rRNA from 1 species